UACGUAGGCAGCAAGCGUUGUUCGGAGUUACUGGGCGUAAAGGGUGUGUAGGCGGUUAUUAAGUUUGGUGUGAAAUCUCCCGGCUCAACCGGGGAGGGUGCGCCGAAUACUGAAUGACUUGGAGUGCGGGAGAGGAAAGUGGAAUUCCUGGUGUAGCGGUGAAAUGCGUAGAUAUCAGGAGGAACACCGGUGGUGUAGACGGCUUCUGGACCGUAACUGACGCUGGAGACACGAAAGCGUGGGUAGCAAACAGG
rnacentral:rRNA from 1 species